GCAAGCGAGCUCAAUGGCAGAGCAUAAGACUUCCUAGUUUAAGAUAAGGGUUCGACUCCCUUCGCCCGCU
rnacentral:tRNA from 1 species